GCCAGGCGUGGUGGCGCGUGCCUGUAGUUCCAGCUACUCAGGGAGGCUGAGGCUGGAGGAUCUCUUGAGCCCAGGAGUUCUGGGCUGUAGUGCGCUGUGCUGAUCGGGUGUCCGCACUAAGUUCGGCAUCAAUAUGGUGACCUCCCCGAAGUGGGGGACCACCAGGUUGCCUAAGGAGGGGUGAACCGGCCCAGGUCGGAAACAGAGCAGGUCAAACCUCCCGUGCUGAUCAGUAGUGGGAUCGCUCCUGUGAAUAGCCACUGCUCUCCAGCCUGGGCAACAUAGCGAGUCCUGGUCUAU
rnacentral:SRP_RNA from 1 species